rnacentral:rRNA from 1 species
AGUGAACGCUGGCGGUAGGCCUAACACAUGCAAGUCGAACGGCAGCACAGUAAGAGCUUGCUCUUACGGGUGGCGAGUGGCGGACGGGUGAGGAAUACAUCGGAAUCUACUUUUUCGUGGGGGAUAACGUAGGGAAACUUACGCUAAUACCGCAUACGACCUACGGGUGAAAGCAGGGGAUCUUCGUACCUUGCGCGAUUGAAUGAGCCGAUGUCGGAUUAGCUAGUUGGCGGGGUAAAGGCCCACCACGGCGACGAUCCGUAGCUGGUCUGAGAGGAUGAUCAGCCACACUGGAACGGAGACACGGUCCAGACUCCUACGGGAGGCAGCAGUGGGGAAUAUUGGACAAUGGGCGCAAGCCUGAUCCAGCCAUACCGCGUGGGUGAAGAAGGCCUUCGGGUUGUAAAGCCCUUUUGUUGGGAAAGAAAAGCAGCAGGUUAAUACCCCGCUGUUCUGACGGUACCCAAAGAAUAAGCACCGGCUAACUUCGUG